GACAGAGGGUGCAAACGUUGUUCGGAAUUACUGGGCGUAAAGCGCGUGUAGGCGGCAGGGCAUGUCGGAUGUGAAAUCCCGUGGCUCAACCACGGAAGUGCACCCGAAACUGCCCAGCUCGAGUCUCGGAGAGGAAGGCGGAAUGCUUGGUGUAGAGGUGAAAUUCGUAGAUAUCAAGCGGAACACCGGUGGCGAAGGCGGGUCUCUGGACAGUUCCUGACGCUGAGGCACGAAGGUCAGGGGAGCAAACGGG
rnacentral:rRNA from 1 species